rnacentral:rRNA from 1 species
CUACGGGAGGCACCAGUGGGGAAUAUUGCACAAUGGGCGCAAGCCUGAUGCAGCCAUGCCGCGUGUAUGAAGAAGGCCUUCGGGUUGUAAAGUACUUUCAGCGGGGAGGAAGGGAGUAAAGUUAAUACCUUUGCUCAUUGACGUUACCCGCAGAAGAAGCACCGGCUAACUCCGUGCCAGCAGCCGCGGUAAUACGGAGGGUGCAAGCGUUAAUCGGAAUUACUGGGCGUAAAGCGCCCGCAGGCGGUUUGUUAAGUCAGAUGUGAAAUCCCCGGGCUCAACCUGGGAACUGCAUCUGAUACUGGCAAGCUUGAGUCUCGUAGAGGGGGGUAGAAUUCCAGGUGUAGCGGUGAAAUGCGUAGAGAUCUGGAGGAAUACCGGUGGCGAAGGCGGCCCCCUGGACGAAGACUGACGCUCAGGUGCGAAAGCGUGGGGAGCAAACAGGAUUAGAUACUCCGGUAGUC